AGUCUCCCUGGGAAACAUGACGAGCUCACCUGAGCUGGGUUCUGAGCUCCAGCGUUUGGGGCUAAAAGUUGCGGACUGGUAGCUGAGGCGGCACGAGAGUAUAGGCGCGCGGGGUCGUUGCCGGGGGCACAGAGUGAGAACAAGCAAGGGAGCCCUGCUGAAUUGCAGCUUAGGAAGCCCUGAAUCCUGGAGACGGAGUUUUGCUCUUGUUGUUCAGGCUGGAGUGCAAUGACGUGAUCUCGGCUCACUGCAACCUCCGCCUCCAGAGUUCAAGCAAUUCUCCUGCCUCAGCCUCCCGAGUAGCUGGGAUUAUAGCAGUGAAGGCAGUGAGGGGCUGUGGUGUGAUUCAGGAGGCUGAGAAUUAUGCAGUGGGUGCUGUCACCUUGAAGACAUCAGCGCGAUCAGCCAGAUCAUCAUGGUACUGCAUUUCCUGGACACGAUCAUAAUUUUCUUAAUACCUCCACCAACAUUUCAAAUAGUGUCUCUAAUGCCCCAGAGAUUUUUAUGCCCCUAAGGUAGUUUUCUUUCUUUUGUGAAGCAGAAGAAGGGAAAUUGUUAAAGCGAAUUAUUUUAACUAAAUUUA
rnacentral:antisense_RNA from 1 species